CAAGUGAUUGUGGUCCUGCUUUUGGAAAACUUAGCAUUUGUAAAACUCUCUAACAGGGACAUGCAAUACUUACAGAAGUGCAGUCCUUUACGGCACCUGGGUAUCUGACACCCACUGGUGGCAGUGACCUGCUGGGCACCUACAGUGAUGUAAUUUCACAAAGCUUCAAAUCACCCAUUCAAAGCCAAGUGAUGCAGGGUUGAGCUGAAAGGAGUCCCCGGGCUCCAGGCACAGCCUGAGCCAAGGCUGGUGCUUUGCUUCAUUUUCAUCCUGGUUGUUUCUGAAGAGCACCCACCUGUGGGUUGUAUUGCUCUCGUCACCUCUCCUGCUGUAGGGAUACCUGCUGGAAGACAUGACCAGCACUUACACUAAAUGUUAGACACGUGCUCAGAUCAUGUUUUUCAGUUGUACACCUGAAUUUGGCAGCUAGGCUCAACUCCUGAUACUGCAGGAUGUGGAAGAGGCACUUUAGUGACAGAAGACUGCUUCUGUGAGCCACAGGAAUCCCUCUGUUCGUGAGACCUUGAGCCAAAUUAAUCUCAGUAAUUGAGCCUGGUUGGUGAUAAAAACAACGAUUCAGCUGGCAACUCAGGACAGGUAGAAAGAAUGAGAUGCUUCAAAAGGAGUGUAUGAGAAACCAGGAUUAAAAACCAUCACGAUUAGUAGGAGACAACUCUGGGAAGCUGUUUCAGAUCUUCAAUUUUUUAUCAUUUUUUUUCAGACCUUCAAAGGUC